GACGAAGGUGGCAAGCGUUGUUCGGAAUCACUGGGCAUAAAGGGCGCGUAGGCGGCUGUGUAAGUCAGGUGUGAAAGCCCUCGGCUCAACCGAGGAACUGCGCCUGAUACUGCACGGCUUGAGGUCCGGAGGGGAGAGUGGAAUUCCCGGUGGAGCGGUGAAAUGCGUAGAGAUCGGGAAGAACGCCGGCGGCGAAAGCGACUCUCUGGUCGGAAUCUAACGCUGAGGCGCGAAAGCUAGGGGAGCAAACGGG
rnacentral:rRNA from 1 species